rnacentral:tRNA from 1 species
CGAAAUCGGUAGACGCUACGGACUUAAAAUCCGUCGACUUUAAAAAUCGUGAGGGUUCAAGUGCCUCUAUCCCC